CGAUGCUGCACGGGAGAGUCCAGUCUCCACCGUGAGGCUGGCGCCGAAGGGGCAAUCCCUCCCCGGAACCUCUCAGGCGCCAGGACCGUGCAGAGCAG
rnacentral:ncRNA from 1 species